ACUCAGACAAGGCAGCGGGGCUGCAAGGGUUAGAAGCGCCCCCAGGAUGCAGGAGGGGUGUGUGUGGAAUCUAGACCAGGCAUCUGAUGGCUGAGAGAAAACAGCAGUGCAGAGAGGUUAUGUGACUUGCUGGAUCGCAGGUCCCCAGCGAGCGAGGACUGGGAGGUGAGGAGGUGGCGGGGGCCUGGAUGGGGGGCCUGGGCAGCGUGGGCAGGGGUGGCUGGGGCUCCGGGAGAUCACCCUGCAUGAGAGGGAGCCAGGGUGCAAGGCCCCAGAGGGCAGGCGGCCCGUUCCCAGGCCCCCGUGGCCCGGGUGCCUCUCCUGCCGUUCCAGGGCGGGGGAGCAGAAAUUGCCAGCUGGCAUCCUAGGAAUGUGGGCUGCAUUGGAAAGUUAGCUAACGUUUCCCGGUGAGAGGGGCCCGAUUAUAUUGACUCUGCCAGGAACAGAGAGACACAGAAGAAAUCCCUGAGAGCUGCAGGCCUGUGUCAAAGGCAAAGCUAAGUCCGGGACAAGAAGGACACCAGCUUUCGAGUCGUAGACCUGCAGUGAGGGGGCCCUCCACAGGCCCCGCUGUCUCAGCCAGGGCUGGAAGGUGUUCGGGAGGACAGUGGCCUCGUGGAGCAGGAAGAGGAGACGCUGAGACAGAUUGGCAGGCAUGCUAUCGAAAUGGGAGUUUUGGAACCACGGAGACCGUCCGCUUGGCCUUCGGGGACACGUGGCAGUCUUUGAUUGGCUGCAAGGGGGCAAGCGACCCCCUUGAAUUUUACAAGAUCGUGUCGUGUUAGAGAUGGAGAGUUUUUUGAGGCUGGCCAUUUCCUGGAACAGGCAGGAUUCCAGGGGGGGAGCUUUUUAGUGGUCAAACUGUUAACACGGUCCCAGUGAGGGAGCAGAGGGCUGCCAUCAAGGCGGUUUCUCAGCAGAGAUCCAGACCAGGAGGCUUGUGGCCAGGGAUCCAGAAGACCCGAGUUCUAGGCCCAGCUUCCCACUAACUGAAUGGUCCUCUUUCUGGACCUGUUUAUUAUAUGUACAAUGAAGGGGCAGGACCACCCGGGAAUGUCAAAUUGCUGACCCUUGGGCCAAAUCUAACCUGCAGUUGUGUUUUCUUUGGCCCGCAAAUCAUUAUUUUUAAUUUUGAUUUUUAGUUUUGCAUGCCAGUAGGAGGGGUGUGCAUUUGUUCUGCAGUCCACAGCCCUGGUGCUCCAUGCUGUGACAGACCUGCCGAGUUCCAGCCUUUGGGUAACCGCUGUCCCCGUAGGGUCUGGUCUGCAGUCCCCGGAGCAAACGACUCCUCGUGCCUUUGUGGGGCUGGCCUUCCCUGGUUCCACGAUUCUCAGUGGCACCUUCUCACUUUCGCUGCCUCCCACAGUCACCUCGCACGGCCCUCCACAAAUAUUUGAUGCUCCAGCUUCUUGAGUCAAUUAUCCCUUUCGGAAAACUGGAGAGAGAAAUGAUAUAAUUAACUACCUGAGAGAAAAUGAGCAGAGCAGCAAGCUAUAAAUACCAAGACACACGACGGAGACUGAAACCCCGGGGCCCCACUUGACCUUACCCAGUUAAGAGUGGUCUGAGGCCUCCCUGGUUGGAAGAAACCAGUGAGGCCAAGCCCAGCUCAUGCUCAGAGCCGCAGCCUUCACAUAGCAUGGCAAGAAGCGGCUCAGCCAGCCCCCAGGCCCCAGGGCCAGCAGGCCAGGAAGCAACACCCUCUGCCCGUCUCUGCCAAGUGGCCGGGAUCAGAAUCAACAGGCCAGAAGGGCUAAUUCUUCCCUCACACACUGUGCCCAGGACCAGAUGCUCUGCCCCGAGUGUGGGGCCUGGACACAGUUGCGUCGCUGGAUCCUUCCACCCCAUCUUCAACCACGGACCAGAUAAACGGAGUUGAACACACUUCAAAGCCAACACUGAGCACGGCCAUCUGGGAUUCAUUCCUGAGCGGGCCUUUUCCAGUUAUGUAACCAGGGAGAUCCAGACAGAGAGACACAGAUUGGAAGAAGUUUCCUUUUUUUUAAACUCCGAACCUUUACAGUAUUGGGAUAAUUAUGGCUUUCAUAGCGUUGAUUACUUUAAGCUGUCAGUAAUUUGAGUCUUUUUCAGAAUCAGUGACCAGCUUUCUGUAAUUGUGUUCUCUCUCCCCACUUCCAUCCGUAAGUAAAGGAAACACAAUCCCCAGCUCACGGGGUUUCCCUCCCAGCACCUCGCCCGGGCACUUCGCUGCCACGCCCGAAGGCCGCAGUGGACACACCUUCCCGGCGUCCUCCGGGCUCGUGACACACUUGCUUCCCGAGGCACAGUCUUAUUAGGGAACGUCCAUUCCUCCCCGAACUGAAGGAAGGAGCCGGGUGAAGCCUGGGGUGGCCGGGCCUUUUGCUGUGAAUCAUUCAGGAUCACCCAAAACGUUCUGGUUCACGGAUAGAGGGCACUGGCAAAUACGAGAUACUUUAAGAAAUGGUAUUUGCCACACAUUUGCAAUUUUUAAAUGUUUUCUUUUCUGAUUAUGUAACUAAUACCUGUCAGUGUGAAAAUUCUCAGCAGUGUGAAGAAGAAAAUAAUUAUCCCAAAUCCUUGCCUGGGAGAAUUGUUCAAACAAAAAGUGACGCUAACAUUUUAGCACAUUGCCCUCCAGCCUUCACCUUGGGUAUGUUUGCAUUUCUAGAGUUGAAACUAUAUUUUAUAGUUUUAUAAUUUUGUAUCUUGCAUUUCUCCUUAACAAUUUGCCCACAUAAUAAAAAAAUGUUUAACCUUAGUUUUCAAUAGCAACACAGGUUCAAAUGAAGUCAAUGUAUAAUUUUUUUAAAAAAUCAAAUCCUGUAUUAUAGUUCAAAGGCUGUGUCCAACAUUUAAAUCCACACUGAAUUUCUUUGGCUGUAAAUUUCUAUCUGUAUUUCUUAUUGCUUUCAUAGAAGCUAUUCCCAGAAGGGUAAUCAACUCUGCAUCAAAGAGCAUGAAAAUUGUUUAAUGUUCUAAUACACUUCAGAAACAUUGAGUGACCUUUUCACCCAAGUAUGAAUAUUUUUUUAAACCUUACUACUUUGAUGAGUAAAAAAGUAGACUUUCAUAUUUACAUUAAUUUACUCUUCUUUAGCUAUCAAAGUAAUUCUUUUUUCAAAUCCUUAUUAGCAUUUUACAUUUUAUUCCUUCUUGAAGUAGACAUUGUGUGAGCCCGUGGACGGAGGCUGAGGAUGAUUAUGAGAUUCCUGGUACAAAGAUGCUCCCAGCUCAAUGCAGGUGACCCCAUGGCGAGAGCAGUGAGGGUCUGUGGAGGUUAGCUGAGCUACCUCAUCCAGAGGAGGAGCAGGUUGGGGGUGGUACCCGUUCCUGGUGAUGUUAGUUACCUAUUGCUGUGUAACAAAUUGCACAUUUAAAUGGAGACCCAUUAAAACGGAAUACCUUUUAAACCUGAUUGUGCGUGGUGGUGGUAGCAGUAAACUGAAGCAGGCACCGCCACACAGAAGCUGUCUGAGCUUGGCAAUCCCACAUUCUGGCUUCAAGCCAUGCGGUGCGACUGGUGCCAGGAGGGGGUGCAGGGAGAAGGAAAAGGCUGGACAGCUGGUAAAGGCCCGCCACCCCAGGUGGGAUGGGAAUGACAGGACAGAUUUUUAAGUAGGAGCGGGUGAGUGAGACAUGGGGAACUCCAUCCUGGAAGGGGUGCUUGGGGCUAGGAGGGAACAGGAAACAGGUGUCAUGGGUAAGGCCUGUGACCUGACCAGGACUUUUGAAUCUAAAAAUAUAUGUGUCAGGGGGUGUGAUUAUUAAAAUGUAGGAAUAUUACCCAAAAAUGAUGUUGACAUCAACGCUAAUUUUGGAUGCUGGAAAAUUAACCUAAUUAGCUCUUGCCUUUCCCUCCACACACUUUCCCUCGGCGGUUUCCUUGGUCCUGUGCCAUCACCUGCUUCUUUGGCAUGGCUGACUCCUAGAUCUGUAUUUCCAGCCUUGCCAUUUUCCUGCCACAUCUCCAACCUCCUGCUUGACAGCUCAGCCUGGUGGACUUCUCAGCACCUCAAACUUAGUAUGUACAAUACAGAACUUAUUUUCCUCCAAAACCUGCCAUCUUCCUUGCUGUCUCUUCUGGUCAAAGCGCCACCAGGCAUCCAGCCUGGGGCCCGAGGAGGGGAAGCCCAUGUGUCACAGAGAUAUGGCGUGCUCUGUGGGGAGGAACUUCAUGUGUGAGCAGAAGCAGGCAGCUGGCGACAAGCUGAAGAAAGGCGUUCAUCCCACACACAUGUGGGAAGCACCUCGGGUGCUCCAGGAGCUGCGUUUCUGGGCAUGGGGGCUCACUGGUGAAUAAGCCAGACGAGGUUCUCUGCCCCCCGGAGCUUUACUCAACAGGCCCCCAGGGUCGGCCCAGGAACAGCAAGCGGACCCUCUUACCAGAGCAUCAGGUAAAGCCUGUCCCUGUUUUGUCCUGCUGUGAGCUAACGAGUGUGCUGCUGUCAGCGUGGGGUCUGGAGCGUCAGACAGGGGGGUGACAUCACGGGGAACGGCAAGAAGCAACAAGCCCCAAAGGAGAUGACUAAGCAAGUAUGGCGGGCUGAGUAACGGCCCCCGAAAGGUGUCCACGUCUUCAUCCCCAGAACUUGUGAAUAUGUUACCUUACAUGGCAAAGGAACUUUCUAGAUGUAAUUAAGGAUCUUAAAAUGGUGAGAUUACACUAGAUUAUCCGGACGGGCCCAAUGUCAUCACAAGGACCCUGUGAAAGGGAGGCAAGUGUAAAGACAGGAGGAGGGGAAGGAUGAUGGAAGCAGAGGUUGGAGUGAUGCAGUUUGAGAUGGAAGAAGGGGCCAUGAGCCAAGGAACACAGGCAGCUUCUGGAAACUGGAAAACUCAAGGGAACAGAUUCUGCCCUGGAGCCUUCCCAAGGAAGGCAGGCCUGCGGACACCUUGAUUUUACCCCAUAAGGUUCGUUUUGGACUUCUGAUCUCCAGAGCUAUGAGACGAUAAAUUGGUGUCGUUUGACCCACUGUGCUUGUGUGACAACAGCAAUGGGAAACGAACCUAGCAGGCAGGCGGCUGGCUUGCCCCAGCUCCGGAGGUGUUGCAGGAGGACUCUUGACGACACAGCAAACACAGGAGCACCCACGGAGCAGAUUCCCUCGCCCUGAGUCCCGGGGAGAUGUGACGGGCCACAGUGACUCGUGCUGCAGUUAAGGAACCCAGGCUGGCGCUCAGCAGCUUUUGCAUCAAGCAAUAGCAGCCCCACCCUCAUGCGGGAGGGAGUGGAUGGACAGUAGUCCUGCUGCAUCACUGGACCUGCUUGGCUGUCUACGGGACCAGCUACAGCUGCAGCAGCAGCUCAGGCUCCGCUGGGCACGGACGUGCACAGACGCAGGGCCGGCUGGAUGGCCGCGGAGCUCACCUAGCCAACCCUCGGGCCCCCAGCCAGCUGCAGCGUCAGUGGGCGGCGGGGCCCAGGAGACGCACGUGUUCGGGCCAAGCCAGUGCCGUUUUGUCCUCCGGGCAGCUCCCUGCAGCUGCCGGGCUCCAUGAGUUCUUCCCGGAGGUCAAGAGCUGGGACUGCACAAGGGCUGGGAGAGUUCCCACAUGGUCUGCACAAAUGCCGCAGCGUCCAGGCAGAGCAGGGCCAGCGGCAGCUAGAGAUGCUCCCGACGGGCCAGGCUGGCCUCAAGGGCGCCUCUGUGCAGGCAGCUGGCUGGUUGACUCGAGGGCCAUGAGAGACCAGAGGCUGGGGGAACGACCAGCAGCCUCCAAGGAGGGCCCGAGGCUCUGCCUCCUCCUGCCGGGGCAGGUGUGUGGAGUGAGACAGUGGGAAGAACUGCCUCUCAGAUACUCCCCUGACUGCAGGGUUUGCGUUUCCGCCUCAGAGCAAGCUCCUGGGGCCUGGGCACGAGGAACUGAUGCCGACCCCGGGUCUGGGAGUUCAGAGGCCGGACAGUCAAGGAGUUAAGAGUGUGCAUGUCUGCCUGGACCCUGUUCUAUCUCACGAACUUAAGAAAAUCUCACUAAGAAAAAAGCAGACUGAAAAACAAUAUGUAUAGUAAGAUACCUUUUUUUGCUUAGAACUUUUAAAAAAUCUCUAUGUAUUUAGAAGAGCAUAGAAAAAAAAACCUACUGAAGAUUCCACCUUGCACUGAUUAUGACGGUCACCCCUGAGGACUGAGACUGACUUUAAGUGUGUGUUACUUUUUUUUUGGCUAAAACAUAAAGAUUUUUAAAAAUGUUCAAAGCACUCUAACUUCUAAUCCUACGGGAAAGAAUGUUCAUGUUUUAUCGAAAGAGAGACCAAAAUGUGCGGAGGGUCAUCUCUUCUGAAGGUCGUGAUAACUUCCUAACUUUUCAUCAAAUGGUCUCCAACCACCAGGCCAGUGGUAUGUAUUGAGAGCUACGCUUACUUCACGGGCUGUAAGUACAGCAGCAACUGGGACACGACUGCUAACGUGGUGGAAAGAAGUUAUGGCACAAGAAGGAUUUUUUUUAAGUCACCUAAAGUUCCUGUCAGAGUGGGAGCCUCAGCCUCUGGCGUUUCCUUCGUCAAGGUUGGCUGCUACGGCCUAUUCUUCACCUCAAUGCUUUCUUUCUAUUCCUUAUCGUGUGUAGAAUGCCCAUUUAACAUGAGGUGGUCAUGUGAUGUUUUUCCUGGAAAUUUAUUAUAAUUGCAAUGGUAGAUAUAUAAUCUAUACACACAAAGAAAAUAAACCUUCUAAUGAGGACUCAGGCUAACCACCUUAGGGAAUUGCUGUUUUUGAUUGUAUUUUAAGGCCAUUAAAAUAUCUGUUUAGUGAUUUAUUCACCCUGUAGACAGAUGUAGGGAUCAGUCUAUUUUUCACGUUACAGUGGAGUUUUCUUUUCAAAUAUUCUCCCUGGCCUUGUGGUGAAAUGUGCAUUAUGAUACUUCCUCAUCGUGACACAUGCAAAAGCGUUAUUCAUCAAAUGGUAUUUUCAAGCGUACUUCUCAUUAUUCUUUCAAGCACAUAAACAUAGCAAAGCCCUAGACUCUUGCCACAAUAUCAAAAGAAUUGAAGAUGUGGUGGAGCGCCUGACCUGCAUGGACCUGGAUUUUCGGGACAAGGUCACCGUAUUUCACAUGAACUUCUCUCCUGUUCUUUUCCCUUCUCCUCCCUCCCCCACGCCAAAUACAUAACUGUACUUGGUCUGAUGCUAAAUCAAGGUAAAUGAGACGUGACCUAUUAAAAAAGGAAAUGAAUUAUCGAAAGGGGAAAAUUGCAUUCCCGGCCGGGAGUGUGGACGUCAUGGCUUGAAUGUGUGUGUCUGUUCUGCCACUUCACUAGAUGGUCUUGCUUUUUGGGUGGCAUGUCUUCCAUCAUCCAAAUUGCCUCAUGAAGUCAGCAAAGUCAGUCAGACCAUGUUUUGGAGCUAUCUACUUUGUAUUUUUUUCCAAGGUUCUUUUUAAUGAAUGAAUGUAGUUAUAGCAGACCCGUCUUUAAGGGGUCUCUGGGAAUAGUCCUUAUUAAAUUCCCUACAACUUGAUCUAAGUCGGGAGUUAAAUGAUCUGUGUGAGCAGGCACACAGGUCAGGGUUUCACGGGCCAAACUCUUACUAGACUCCCGAAUAUCUUCCAAGUGCCAGUGGAGCCUGCCUGUCCUUCCAGCGGACUGUGGAGGAGGACGUAGGACUGUGAAGUUACUCCCAGGAAGUCACCCCAGGCAGUUCCUUCACAUCCUUGGGGCCAGCCUGAAUGGCACUGGACUCAUCCAAGGAGCCAGGUCUUUGCAAGUGGAGCAAAGAGCUGGAGGGCAGAGAUUCUCGGGCUGCAGGACCGGGAGAACGUUGUCCACGGUACUCUCCAUUAAAUGUCAGUGACCAGCUGGGCUUUGACCAGGCAACAAAGAGAAUCUGAUAGCCCAAGGAGGGGGCCAGUUCCUUAGGCUCUGUCCCUUGUCACUGUCUUGCCAUUUGUUGCAUUGUGGUCAUUCCAUAGCUUUUUCCUUUCUUUUUUUCUCUGUUUACUUGUAACAAAAGGGGAGGGGAG
ensembl:lncRNA